UACAGAGGGUGCAAGCGUUGUUCGGAAUUAUUGGGCGUAAAGGGCGCGUAGGCGGUGCGGUAAGUCUGUAGUGAAAUCUCUGGGCUCAACUCAGAGUCUGCUGCAGAAACUGCCGUGCUUGAGUGUGGGAGAGGUGAGUGGAAUUCCUGGUGUAGCGGUGAAAUGCGUAGAUAUCGGGAGGAACACCUGUGGCGAAGGCGGCUCACUGGCUCAUUACUGACGCUCAGGCGCGAUAGCGCGGGGAUCAAACAGG
rnacentral:rRNA from 1 species